UGGGCGUAAAGAGCUCGUAGGUGGUUUGUCGCGUUGUUCGUGAAAUCUCACGGCUUAACUGUGAGCGUGCGGGCGAUACGGGCAGACUUGAGUACUGCAGGGGAGACUGGAAUUCCUGGUGUAGCGGUGGAAUGCGCAGAUAUCAGGAGGAACACCGGUGGCGAAGGCGGGUCUCUGGGCAGUAACUGACGCUGAGGAGCGAAAGCGUGGGGAGCGAACAGGAUUAGAUACCCUGGUAGUCCUCGCCGUAAACGGUGGGUACUAGGUGUGGGUUUCCUUCCUUGGGAUCCGUGCCGUAGCUAACGCAUUAAGUACCCCGCCUGGGGAGUACGGCCGCAAGGCUAAAACUCAAAGAAAUUGACGGGGGCCCGCACAAGCGGCGGAGCAUGUGGAUUAAUUCGAUGCAACGCGAAGAACCUUACCUGGGUUUGACAUGCACAGGACGCCGGCAGAGAUGUCGGUUCCCUUGUGGCCUGUGUGCAGGUGGUGCAUGGCUGUCGUCAGCUCGUGUCGUGAGAUGUUGGGUUAAGUCCCGCAACGAGCGCAACCCUUGUCUCAUGUUGCCAGCGGGUAAUGCCGGGGACUCGUGAGAGACUGUCCGGGGUCAACUCGGAGGAAGGUGGGGAUGACGUCAAGUCAUCAUGCCCCUUAUGUCCAGGGCUUCACACAUGCUACAAUGGCCGGUACAAAGGGCUGCGAUGCCGCGAGGUUAAGCGAAUCCUUUUAAAGCCGGUCUCAGUUCGGAUCGGGGUCUGCAACUCGACCCCGUGAAGUCGGAGUCGCUAGUAAUCGCAGAUCA
rnacentral:rRNA from 1 species